GACGAACGCUGGCGGCGUGCUUAACACAUGCAAGUCGAACGGAAAGGCCCUGCUUUUGUGGGGUGCUCGAGUGGUGAACGGGUGAGUAACACGUGAGUAACCUGCCCUUGACUUUGGGAUAACUUCAGGAAACUGGGGCUAAUACCGGAUAGGAGCUCCUGCUGCAUGGUGGGGGUUGGAAAGUUUCGGCGGUUGGGGAUGGACUCGCGGCUUAUCAGCUUGUUGGUGGGGUAGUGGCUUACCAAGGCUUUGACGGGUAGCCGGCCUGAGAGGGUGACCGGCCACAUUGGGCCUGAGAUACGGCCCAGACUCCUACGGGAGGCAGCAGUGGGGAAUAUUGCACAAUGGGCGGAAGCCUGAUGCAGCAACGCCGCGUGCGGGAUGACGGCCUUCGGGUUGUAAACCGCUUUCGCCUGUGACGAAGCGUGAGUGACGGUAAUGGGUAAAGAAGCACCGGCUAACUACGUG
rnacentral:rRNA from 1 species